rnacentral:miRNA from 1 species
AAUAUCGUUUUAACAAAUUAUGCGUAUUUAAGGAGAUAGCGCUGCGCAUGCGCAGAACGUAUCUCCUUACCUUUGCACUUUUUGGUAAGAAGAUGUUAACAAAAGUUGUUCGUCAUGAUGAGGGCUACAACUUUGCUUAAUAUCCUUUUGACAAAUUAUGCGUAUUUAAGGAGAUAGGUCUGCGCAUGCGCAGAACGUAUCUCCUUACCUUUGCACUUUUUGGUAAGAAGAUGUU